GACGAACGCUGGCGGCGUGCUUAACACAUGCAAGUCGAACGAAGUGGCGGACGGGUGAGUAACGCGUAAUCAACCUGCCCUUCGGGGGGGGACAACAGUUGGAAACGACUGCUAUUACCGCAUACUGAAGGAGGGGAUUGCGUCUGAUUAGCUAGGUGGAGGGGUAACGGCCCACCAAGGCGAUGAUCAGUAGGCGGUCUGAGAGGAUGAACGGCCACAUUGGGACUGAGACACGGCCCAGACUCCUACGGGAGGCAGCAGUGGGGAAUCUUCCGAAAUGGACGAAAGUCUGACGGAGCAACGCCGCGUGAGUGAUGACGGCCUUCGGGUUGUAAAGCUCUGUUAAUCGGGACGCGGUACCGGAAUAGAAAGCCACGGCUAACUACGUGCCAGCAGCCGCGGUAAUUC
rnacentral:rRNA from 1 species